GGCUGAAAUUACGCCUUCCAUGAAGCCGGAAUUGCNGUAAUGGCAGGUCAGCAUACUGCCGUGAAUACGUUCCCGGGCCCUUGUACACACCGCCCGUCACACCAUGAGAGUUGGGAAUACCCGAAGCCUGUGAGCUAACUUUUAGAGGCAGCAGUCGAAGGUAGAAUCAAUGAUUGGGGUGAAGUCGUAACAAGGUAUC
rnacentral:rRNA from 1 species